GUUCAAGAAGCAAAGCACAGCUAUUCCUACCCGUGUGUUUACGGCCAAAGAUUGCAAUGAUUGAAGUCUGGCCCCUAGGGGGAGCUGUCGCUGUUUGAACUGUUUCAUACCCGCAGAGAGGCACUGUGAAGACAGAAAGAGUGUCGGUCAGUUCCUGUGCCCGUGGCGCCGGUCACGUUCCCCCGGGCGGUCUUGUGAAGGAGCGUGUA